rnacentral:rRNA from 1 species
UACCAGCUCUCCGAGUGGUAGGGAUGAUUAUUGGGCUUAAAGCGUCCGUAGCCGGCUUAGCAAGUCUCCUGUUAAACUCAGCGACCUAAUCGUUGAAUCGCGGGAGAUACUACUAGGCUAGGAGGCGGGAGAGGUCGACGGUACUUCUGGGGUAGGGGUGAAAUCCUAUAAUCCCGGGAGGACCACCAGUGGCGAAGGCUGUCGACUAGAACGCGCUCGACGGUGAGGGACGAAAGCUGGGGUAGCGAACCGGAUUAGAUACCCGGGUAGUCCCAGCUGUAAACGAUGCGGGCUAGGUGCUGGGAUGGCUACGGGCCAUUUCAGUGCCGCAGGGAAGCCAUUAAGCCCGCCGCCUGGGGAGUACGGCCGCAAGGCUGAAACUUAAAGGAAUUGGCGGGGGAGCACCACAAGGCGUGAAGCUUGCGGUUC